GACGAACGCUGGCGGCGUGCUUAACACAUGCAAGUCGAACGGAAAGGCCCUGCUUGCAGGGUACUCGAGUGGCGAACGGGUGAGUAACACGUGGGUGAUCUGCCCUGCACUUCGGGAUAAGCCUGGGAAACUGGGUCUAAUACCGGAUAGGAGCCAUUUUUAGUGUGAUGGUUGGAAAGUUUUUUCGGUGUAGGAUGAGCUCGCGGCCUAUCAGCUUGUUGGUGGGGUAAUGGCCUACCAAGGCGGCGACGGGUAGCCGGCCUGAGAGGGUGGACGGCCACAUUGGGCCUGAGAUACGGCCCAGACUCCUACGGGAGGCAGCAGUGGGGAAUAUUGCACAAUGGGCGCAAGCCUGAUGCAGCGACGCCGCGUGGGGGAUGACGGCCUUCGGGUUGUAAACUCCUUUCGCUAGGGACGAAGCUUUUUGUGACGGUACCUAGAGAAGAAGCACCGGCUAACUACGUG
rnacentral:rRNA from 1 species